ACCUCACGGCUGCCGAAAUCGUGGUGAAAGAGGCACAGAGACGCGCUGCUCGCGAGAAGCGGCAGAACGCGUCUGCAAGUCAGCUGAACCUAAACCUU
rnacentral:ribozyme from 1 species